rnacentral:rRNA from 1 species
UACGUAGGGGGCUAGCGUUGUCCGGAAUCAUUGGGCGUAAAGAGCGUGUAGGCGGCCCGGUAAGUCCGCUGUGAAAGUCGGGGGCUCAACCUCGAAUGCCGGUGGAUACUGUCGGGCUAGAGUGCGGAAGAGGCGAGUGGAAUUCCGUGGUGUAGCGGUGAAAUGCGCAGAUAUCAGGAGGAACACCGGUGGCGAAGGCGGGUCUCUGGGCAGUGAACUGACGCU